AACGAACGCUGGCGGCAGGCCUAACACAUGCAAGUCGAGCGAACCCUUCGGGGUUAGCGGCGGACGGGUUAGUAACGCGUGGGAAUAUACCCUUUGGUACGGAAUAGCCUCGGGAAACUGAGAGUAAUACCGUAUGUGCCCUUCGGGGAAGAUUAUCGCCAAAGGAUUAGCCCGCGUUGGAUUAGAUAGUUGGUGGGGUAAUGGCCUACCAAGUCUACGAUCCAUAGCUGGUUUGAGAGGAUGAUCAGCAACACUGGGACUGAGACACGGCCCAGACUCCUACGGGAGGCAGCAGUGGGGAAUAUUGGACAAUGGGGGCAACCCUGAUCCAGCCAUGCCGCGUGUGUGAAGAAGGCCUCGGUUGUAAGUACUCUGUUGAGAGGGACGGAAA
rnacentral:rRNA from 1 species